rnacentral:rRNA from 1 species
UACGUAGGUGGCAAGCGUUGUCCGGAAUUAUUGGGCGUAAAGCGCGCGCAGGCGGUCCUUUAAGUCUGAUGUGAAAGCCCACGGCUCAACCGUGGAGGGUCAUUGGAAACUGGGGGACUUGAGUGCAGAAGAGGAGAGCGGAAUUCCACGUGUAGCGGUGAAAUGCGUAGAGAUGUGGAGGAACACCAGUGGCGAAGGCGGCUCUCUGGUCUGUAACUGACGCUGAGGCGCGAAAGCUAGGGGAGCAAACAGG